rnacentral:lncRNA from 1 species
GCCUUGGAGGAGGAGCUUAGCAGUAGCAUUGAGUUGAUCAACAAGGGCUUCCUUUGGAGUGAGACUUGAAGGGUCCUUUGACUUCAAACCAUUGACAACAAUCCACCAUAGUUGCGUUGAGGCACCGCGAGUGUGAGCCUCCAUGGCGCUAGUUUCCACUUAGCAAAGAGCGUUCAAAGGGGGAAGAGGGACAACACGAUUAAUGUACAGGUACAUUAUGGGUUGUGGUGAGUAAAAAGGUUCAACGGAAUUGUACUUCGGAAUUAUUGUGUGAGUAGGAGAUGCAAGGGGCUCUUUGGUGCCAUCAGCUACUUGGACUACAUUUGGGUCAAAUGCAGAAGAUGAAGAUGUAGAGGGUUUUAAGCACACAUCCUCAUGAGGACAUGACUACCUUGGAUAUUAUCACAAUCAUUGCAUAUGCGUAUUUAUUUGAGGUGAUUUCUGAUAAAAGUCAUGCAAUGAUUUAUUUAUUCUCCUAUCACAUCCACUUUGUCCCUCACUAAUGAACGAAC